rnacentral:rRNA from 1 species
UAAGACAGAGGUUGCAAGCGUUGUUCGGAAUCACUGGGCGUAAAGGGCGUGUAGGCGGCGGAGUAUGUCUGACGUGAAAUCCCUCGGCUUAACUGGGGAAUUGCAUCGGAAACUGCUCUGCUUGAGUGUGAGAGAGGAUAGCGGAAUUCCCAGAGUAGAGGUGAAAUUCGUAGAUACUGGGAGGAACACCUGAGGCGAAGGCGGCUAUCUGGUUCACAACUGACGCUGAGACGCGAAAGCAUGGGGAGCAAACAGGAUUAGAUACCCUGGUAGUCCAUGCCAUAAACGAUGUUCACUAGACAUUAGGAGUAUUGACCCUUUUAGUGUCGCAGCUAACGCAUUAAGUGAACCGCCUGGGGAGUACGGUCGCAAGACUA